rnacentral:rRNA from 1 species
AACGAACGCUGGCGGCAUGCCUAACACAUGCAAGUCGAACGAGACCUUCGGGUCUAGUGGCGCACGGGUGCGUAACGCGUGGGAACCUGCCUUUAGGUUCGGAAUAACUCAGAGAAAUUUGAGCUAAUACCGGAUAAUGUCUUCGGACCAAAGAUUUAUCGCCUUUAGAUGGGCCCGCGUUGGAUUAGCUAGUUGGUGGGGUAAAGGCCUACCAAGGCGACGAUCCAUAGCUGGUCUGAGAGGAUGAUCAGCCACACUGGGACUGAGACACGGCCCAGACUCCUACGGGAGGCAGCAGUGGGGGAAUAAUUGGACAAUGGGCGAAAGCCUGAUCCAGCAAUGCCGCGUGAGUGAUGAAGG